AGUUUUAUUAAAAACACCUAAUCUAGGCAAAAACCAAUGGGGGUUUAGUUAUAACAAAACCCCUAUUGUUUUUUGCCUAGAUUAGGAUUCGGAU